rnacentral:lncRNA from 1 species
CCCUAACCACCUGAACCAAAGUGGCUGCUUAACUAAGCUCUAUAUCGCGUUUCAGGGUUUGUGCUCUGUAAUCAAUGGCGUUUGUUUUAUUUUGAUAUGUUGUUUUUUUGACUGGAAUUUAUUAAAACUCUGUUGGAGACACCCUGUCCUGCACAUUUUACUGGAUUUUCUGCAAACUCUGUCCUGAAACACCGUCAAAACUCAAGCCAGCAUCAGCUUUUUCAGCUUCUGGAGCAUCUCUCUGGGAUCAUCACAUCAUGCAGAGCAGCCUGUACUACACACACAUGCAUCAACAAGCCUUGGGUGCCCGUCACUGCACCGCUGAUUCGCUGGAAGUUGGGUUGUUUGUCUUGGGACCACCACUACUGGGUCGUGGAGGGUCUGGAACCUGGACCUGGAAUCAUUUGGGUGCAAGGCAAAAGCUCGCUAUAUAUUCUGCAGUGGACUGCACGCAGAUUCAUGGCCGUUGGAGUACUAUUCUGCAGUGGACUGUAUAUUGGCACGGAGCACACACGUAUACAAAGGCCCGGUGGGGGAAAUGAGGUGGAAAAUGUCGCCUGUUCCUCAUCUGCCUCCUGUUCUGCUUGCCUUGCCUUGGUCUCCACUGUUCACGAGUCAGUUCAUGCCACUGCCCUCACCUCUCUAAAGACACUCUGGAGCCAUUACUGCGAGCCUCCAUUUCUCAACACACCAACAAGAUACAACAGAUGACAAACUGAAGCCCUCCAUCUGGAACCCAUAUCAGUUGAAGAGCUCUUACUGCUGUCCAUGGUGCUGAAAAAGACUGUGCUCGGGGAGGGCUGCUGUCCGCGGUGCUGAAUAGAUAGAGCUGACCAUGGUGCUGCACUCAGUGAACGUUGGUGGAUUCUGUCCAUGGUGCUGAAACAUUUCCAGGGUAAGAGUCUAUGUAUAGAUGAAUAGAUGGAAUCAAUGGAGGGAUAUCACAAAUAAAUAUGUAGA